CCUACGGGAGGCAGCAGUGGGGAAUUUUGGACAAUGGGGGCAACCCUGAUCCAGCCAUUCCGCGUGAGUGAAGAAGGCCUUCGGGUUGUAAAGCUCUUUCGCAGGGGAAGAAAACUUAUGAUCGAAUAAAUCAUGAGGUUGACGGUACCUUGAUAAGAAGCACCGGCUAACUACGUGCCAGCAGCCGCGGUAAUACGUAGGGUGCGAGCGUUAAUCGGAAUUACUGGGCGUAAAGCGUGCGCAGGCGGUUUUGUAAGUCGGAUGUGAAAUCCCCGGGCUCAACCUGGGAACUGCGUUCGAAACUGCAAGGCUAGAGUGUGUCAGAGGGGGUAGGAUUCCACGUGUAGCAGUGAAAUGCGUAGAGAUGUGGAGGAAUACCAAUGGCGAAGGCAGCCCCCUGGGAUAACACUGACGCUCAUGCACGAAAGCGUGGGGAGCAAACAGGAUUAGAUACCCUGGUAGUCCACGCCCUAAACGAUGUCAACUAGUUGUUGGUAGAGUAAAAUCUAUGAGUAACGUAGCUAACGCGUGAAGUUGACCGCCUGGGGAGUACGGUCGCAAGAUUAAAACUCAAAUGAAUUGACGG
rnacentral:rRNA from 1 species